AGGAGUCUGAAGACACACACUCGAUGCUCCCCUCUACCACCAGAUUUCUGAACAGAUGUUGAACUCAUGAACACUACCACAGUAGACAGAUGAAAUCUCAGAUAAAGAUCUUUGGAGAAAGAUGAUGUCGGUGAUCAGGGCACUGGAUAGUAAUAAACAGGCAUUCACAUUAAGUAGAAAAACACAGAAAAAUCAAUGAAAGACCAGACCCAACGAGAUGGACACACCAGCAAUGUGCAAAAGACAACAAACAGUGCAAGC